rnacentral:rRNA from 1 species
AUUGAACGCUGGCGGCAGGCCUAACACAUGCAAGUCGAACGGUAACAGGAAGCAGCUUGCUUCUUUGCUGACGAGUGGCGGACGGGUGAGUAAUGUCUGGGAAACUGCCUGAUGGAGGGGGAUAACUACUGGAAACGGUAGCUAAUACCGCAUAACGUCGCAAGACCAAAGAGGGGGACCUUCGGGCCUCUUGCCAUCGGAUGUGCCCAGAUGGGAUUAGCUAGUAGGUGGGGUAACGGCUCACCUAGGCGACGAUCCCUAGCUGGUCUGAGAGGAUGACCAGCCACACUGGAACUGAGACACGGUCCAGACUCCUACGGGAGGCAGCAGUGGGGAAUAUUGCACAAUGGGCGCAAGCCUGAUGCAGCCAUGCCGCGUGUAUGAAGAAGGCCUUCGGGUUGUAAAGUACUUUCAGCGGGGAGGAAGGGAGUAAAGUUAAUACCUUUGCUCAUUGA